GUGAGUAGUUCAGAGUUUGAUCCUGGCUCAGGACGAACGCUGGCGGCGUGCUUAACACAUGCAAGUCGAACGGGGUUAAGGAGCUUGCUUCUUAACUUAGUGGCGAACGGGUGAGUAACGCGUGAGGAACCUGCCUUUCAGAGGGGGACAACGGUUGGAAACGACUGCUAAUACCGCAUGACACUUACGAACGGCAUCGUUUGUAAGUCAAAGAUUUAUCGCUGAAAGAUGGCCUCGCGUCUGAUUAGCUAGUUGGUGAGGUAACGGCUCACCAAGCCGACGAUCGGUAGGGGUUCUGAGAGGAAGGUCCCCCACAUUGGAACUGAGACACGGUCCAA
rnacentral:rRNA from 1 species